CCUACGGUGGGCAGCAGUGGGGAAUAUUGCACAAUGGGGGGAACCCUGAUGCAGCAACGCCGCGUGGGUGAAGAAGUACUCCGGUAUGUAAAGCCCUGUCAGCAGGGAAGAAAAUGACGGUACCUGACCAAGAAGCCCCGGCUAACUACGUGCCAGCAGCCGCGGUAAUACGUAGGGGGCAAGCGUUAUCCGGAUUUACUGGGUGUAAAGGGAGCGUAGACGGCAAGGCAAGUCUGGAGUGAAAGCCCGUGGCCCAACCACGGGACUGCUUUGGAAACUGUGUUGCUGGAGUGCAGGAGGGGUAAGCGGAAGUCAUAGUGUAGCGGUGAAAUGCGUAGAUAUGAGGAGGAACACCAGUGGCGAAGGCGGCCUGCUGGGCUUUAACUGACGCUGAGGCUCGAAAGCGUGGGUAGCAAACAGGAUUAGAUACCCCUGUAGUC
rnacentral:rRNA from 1 species